GGUGAGUGGUGACCCGCUGUGGAGCAGUUGGAUCGGCUCCGCUAGUCCGCUGGCUUCAAUUUCAAUCCCUACCUGAGUACGCGUGGCAAUUCACCACCCCGACGACGACUAUGCAUAAAAACCCUAACUUUGCACACGAAUUUGAAUAUGAGCAAUGGAGGCAAAUUGGGGAGUAAAAGAGAGCGAGAGGAUACUGUGGAUAAGCGGGCAGAUUCGCAUUCCCUGCAAAGACAUUACUAGCUGGAGAGAGAUUUAUCUCCCAUUGCUCUGCAAGCUAAAUUCUCUGCCAAAGUCCACACCAACAACCAUGCCUCUUUAUUGGAGACAUUUGCUCCAGCAAUUGAAGCAAUGAAAGAUGGGCUCUCAGAAACAGGAAAUGGCAUGGAGAAGCUUCUUCUGUACAAAAGACCUGCUGUAUGUUUAGUGUUCAGACCUGGUAAGAAAGUUUUAGGCGAUUCUUUGAAUUUGAGGCUUUGGAACAAGAGUUCUGCAAGAACAGCAACAUGGUUUAGGCGAGAUGAAGAUAAAGAUGAUAAGAAGAGGAGAGCAGAGUUAAUUCUUAGGCAAUCCAUGGAAAACCAGCAGGAGCUGACCCAGUUGUAAAAUAGUUAAUGGAUGUGUUUACAGUGAACUAGAUUAGCUGAAAAUGAAAAAAAUACAUUGUAUCCAUGCUGUGAAUUUCAGGAGAGUCCCUGUAGAAGCCAAGCACUGAGAGUUUCAGGCAUUUUUCCAAGGUUAGUUAUUGUUUUCUUCAGGAUAUGUUCAAAAUUGAUUUUCAUCUUGCUACCCAAAGAAAAAUUCAAAAAUAAAUUAAUUAGAAUUUAGUUUUGAUCAGAUUUUUUUUAAUCUUAUGGUCUCACUUUCCCAAGUUGUAUUGAAGGAAAUUGUAGUUAGAACAUGAUUUUUUAUGAUAGUGGAGGAAGGAAAUGGUCAAGUGACAGUAGUUUCCACCAAAAAAUUUGUUUGUUAGUACAAUUUCUUGUUAAUGUUUUUCUCAAGGAUUUUGGUUAUAAGAGAAUUCAGUGGGUGGCAAAACAGUAUCUCUUUCAGAGCUUUUGCAUU